GUCGGCGGUUCGAAUCCCCGCAAUGGGAUGAGCUCCCAUUGCUUGGUCCCAGCUCCUGCCAACCUAGCAGUUCGAAAGCACGUCAAGUGCAAGUAGAUAAAUAGGUACCGCUCCAGCGGGAAGGUAAACGGCGUUUCCGUGCACUGCUCUGGUUUCGCCAGAAGCAGCUUAGUCAUGCUGGCCACAUGACACGGAAGCUGAAUGCCGGCUCCCUCGGCCAGUAAAGCAAGAUGAGCGCUGCAACCCCAGAGUCAUCAGCGACUGGACCUAAUGGUCAGGGGUACCUCUACCUUUACCUUUAAAAAGAAUACAGAGCAGGUGCCUCAUGAACCUCUCUGGGAAUGGUAUAAAUAGAAACAAUCUUUAUUAUCAAAUUUAAAGGCAUGUUUUACAACAACUUAGAGAGUACAGUCCACAGCUAGCAAACGCCAUCUGCCCACAUUUGUUUUUAUGUCCAUCUGCAAACUUAUUUCUUGGGGGCUUGGCUUAUUAAGCAAAGUGAAACUUACUUCCAAGUAAACAUGCAAACACCCUCUCAAGCAAGUGAGCCCUCAGCUAUUUAAUUAGUGCUACCUGGCACCUUGUAAUCUGAUUGGAUAAUAGAAUGCCUUUGGGUGGAGGGAGAAUUGGCUGACCUUGAAAAGUGAGAGAGAUUCCAGCAACAGGCUUCCCUAAGAGAGAGCAAGUGAAGCAGCUGCAGCAGACACUGAAUGGUUUAGGAAAGGAGCAACUGUGGAGAUAUUUAAUGGAGGGGUUUGGUAAAACCUUAUGAUGAAGUUGCUUUUUCCACUGGCAUUAUUUCUUCUUUUGCUUUGCUCUUGCUCAUUAGGGAAGGAAACUACCAAUCAACCUUCCAGGGGUUUCCCGACACCAAACUUUGAUGUAGGAAAACAUGAUGAAUGGGCAGACACAAGUCUUAAUGGAUCCCAGGAAUCAAAACCAGAGAGGGAUUUUGUUUUGAAGCCCCAUGACAAUAAUUUUGUACUGGAAUCUGAGCACAAUCCUGGAGAUCUUCUGUUUGAAAUAAGUUUUGGUAUAGAAAACAAAGGAUGGAGCUCUCCCACUGGAAGUGAGUUGGAAAAAGCUCUCAUAGACUCUAUUAAGAGUCAGGUGCAAGAGAAAGUGAAACUCCUCUCAAUCAAAGUCAAGGAAGUCAAGUUAAAGGAAAUUAUAAGGAACGAAGAAACUGAAACUGAUAGACAAAAUGGUCCAAACCUGAUAUUCAUGUUCUGGCUCCAUCUAACACCAGAAAAAAGAAUAUAUCUCACUUAUUGCAUUUGCAACUGGAAGACCUUGGUGGAGCAUCUGUGGAACUUGGCAAGGUUCAGACAGUUGUGGUGAGAGGUGUGUAAAAAGAGUUACACUAUUUAUGGGUGGUAUAAAAUAGCAAGUUAGAUAGAGUUG
rnacentral:lncRNA from 1 species